CACUAGUGAUUGGUGUUCUUCCCGAUAUCUACACAUUCCACCGUUACACCGGGAAUUCCAGUCUCCCCUACCGCACUCAAGCCCGCCCGUACCCGGCGCGGAUCCACCGUUAAGCGAUGGACUUUCACACCGGACGCGACGAACCGCCUACGAGCCCUUUACGCCCAAUAAUUCCGGAUAACGCUUGCACCCUACGUAUUACCGCGGCUGCUGGCACGUAGUUAGCCGGUGCUUAUUCGAAAGGUACACUCACCCGAAGGCUUGCUCCCGAUCAAAAGCGGUUUACAACCCGAAGGCCGUCAUCCCGCACGCGGCGUCGCUGCAUCAGGCUUGCGCCCAUUGUGCAAUAUUCCCCACUGCUGCCUCCCGUAGGAGUCUGGGCCGUAUCUCAGUCCCAAUGUGGCCGGUCGCCCUCUCAGGCCGGCUACCCGUCGUAGGCUCGGUGGGCCGUUACCCCGCCGACUACCUGAUAGGACGCGACCCAUCCCAUACCGAUGAAAUCUUUCCCAGACCACCAUGCGAUGGACUGGAGCAUCCGGCAUUACCACCCGUUUCCAGGAGAAUCGAAU
rnacentral:rRNA from 1 species